rnacentral:rRNA from 1 species
GCUAAGAAUAUUCCGCAAUGGACGAAAGUCUGACGGAGCGACGCCGCGUGGAUGAAGAAGGCCGAAAGGUUGUAAAGUUCUUUUGUUGGGGAAGAAUAACCAUGGGAGGGAAUGCCCGUGGGAUGACAUGAACCGACGAAUAAGCCCCGGCUAACUACGUGCCAGCAGCCGCGGUAACACGUAGGGGGCGAGCGUUGUUCGGAAUUACUGGGCGUAAAGGGCAUGUAGGCGGUCUUGUAAGCUUGGCGUGAAAGACCACGGCUCAACCGUGGGAUUGCGUUGAGAACUGCGAGGCUUGAGUGACGGAGAGGGAGCUAGAAUUCCUGGUGUAGGGGUGGAAUCUGUAGAGAUCAGGAAGAAUACCAAUGGCGAAGGCAAGCUCCUGGCCAAUGACUGACGCUGAGGUGCGAAAGUGUGGGGAUCAAACAGGAUUAGAUACCCUUGUAGUCC